GGGCUUGUAGCUCAGUUGGUUAGAGCGUUCGGUUUACAUCCGAAAGGUCCCUGGUUCGAGCCCAGGCAGGCCCACCA
rnacentral:tRNA from 5 species